rnacentral:rRNA from 1 species
CCUACGGGAGGCAGCAGUGGGGGAUAUUGCACAAUGGGGGAAACCCUGAUGCAGCGACGCCGCGUGGGUGAAGAAGUAUUUCGGUAUGUAAAGCCCUAUCAGCAGGGAAGAAAGAAGACGGUACCUGACUAAGAAGCCCCGGCUAACUACGUGCCAGCAGCCGCGGUAAUACGUAGGGGGCGAGCGUUAUCCGGAUGCACUGGGUGUAAAGGGAGCGUAGACGGCCGUGCAAGCCAGGAGUGAAAGCCCGGGGCCCAACCCCGGGACUGCUCUUGGAACUGUGCGGCUGGAGUGCGGGAGGGGCAGGCGGAAUUCCUGGUGUAGCGGUGAAAUGCGUAGAUAUCAGGAGGAACACCGGCGGCGAAGGCGGCCUGCUGGACCGCGACUGACGUUGAGGCUCGAAAGCGUGGGGAGCGAACAGGAUUAGAUACCCCAGUAGUC